UUGCAGUCUGGUCAGAAGCUCUGGAGAAGACCACUGGGAGGUUUCAACAUGGCAAGAGUUACCAGAAAGCCAGUGGAAACUACCGCAGUUAUGCAUCAACCAACUCUGAGAGCAAAACAAUUAACUCCAAGGGCUAAGACAAAGAAGACAAGGAAGAGUGACUGUCGACCCAAAUCCGUUGAUAGUAGCAAGGCCAAGAAAAUACAGAAGGGAAUAAAGGGGCUGCUCCACGGAAAUUCAAAGAAAAAAUCUUCACAUACCAGUACAACCAUCCCAAGGAAGGUGAAGAGAGUGAAGAAGGCCAAGAAAUUUCGGCCUUUGACGAAGAUGGACUAGGAUCCUUGGCCCAAAGUAUUGAGGCCAGGCCCUAAAUACCUUUCAGUGGCAGACCUACAAGGUACAACACCAUCAUGGAAUAGAGAUGGUUGUUAUUAAAAUAAAAUCAACAACCUUU